CCAGCCAGAAAGGGGGGCAGAAUAUGAUCAUUUGUGCUGUUUUUCUGAGUGCUCCAUGUUUCUGCCUGUGUUUUCUGUGCAGCCAGUCAGGUAUGAAUUAUCCCGUUCAAUGAAAGAAGAUGAAAAAAACCAGGAAAACUAAACAAAACAGAAGGAUGUCUGGUACUUAAUGAAAUAUUGCCAAACACAGAGUCUCAAUGCCUGAGUGCUGACAAUGACUAAUAUGUUCCCUCGAUAUGCUGUAAAGUGGGGAGAAAGUUGUUCUUAGAGGAAGACUCUCUUCUGUUCCAUCCUGCAAGAUACAGCAGAAGCUGAUGAUAACAGCUGUCACUGUGGGUCAGUGCCCAUAAGCUCCUUCCCUGGACUUGUUCCAGUAAAUUCCCUGUAAGAUUGGGAAUAUCAGAACUGGAUGCAGCAGUCCAGAUGUGGCCUCAUCAGUGCUAAUAAAGUCCCUCCAGGACAGAAGUCUAACUGGUAUGUUUUAUUUGCUCACUAGUGUUGUUCCUCAGGAGCUGAGAUUGGAACUGAGAAGGUUUAACACUUUAAUAAUGGCCUGGAUGAUGAAAUGCACUGUUGGUAGGUGACACCAGUUUGUUGAAGGAGGCUAUUCUAGAAAGCAGAGUUCCAGUGUCUUCACAAAUUGUGGAAAUGGGCUGAUAGAAGCUUUAUGGAGUUCAGUAAAUGCAAAUGGAAAGUCCUGAA